AAAAACUCAGUACCACAGCCAUUUUGUUUGUAAGGCAGAGUGGUAGAAUUCUGUCAGCCAGUAAAGCUUUUUGAAACAGAAUUUUUAAGGAGGGAAAAAAAAAAGUGUGCCUAUUGUUUUAAAUUUAACCACCAAAGCCCUUUUAUUUUCGUUCCUUGCACCAAUGGUAGUUACUGCGGCUAACGAAUUCUGUUUUUACAAGGAAUCCAAGCUCCCCGAGCUACAGGAGUCUUGAAUUUUGUUCACGGAUUACUGCCUUCUUUAGGGACCCAAUGAUGUCAAAUCAAAACUGUUUUGAUGGCCAUAGUUUUCAAAUGGCCAUAUUUGUAUCCCCAUUACAUAUCGACGUUCGGGAAGUGAUAAACGAUUUGCUUAUGGAAAGCCUUCUCUUCCGCAAAAACCCACACACAGGAGGGAAGAGUGUUCCUGGAGCCGUUCAAAGGGCAUUUUCCCGAGCUCCCAGGCAGUCGUGGGAGCUAUUGUUUUGCAGUGUCACUUAAUAGCGAGCUUAGACUUUUGUCAUUUGGGUGGCUGUGCUUUUAAAAGCCCAGUGUAAAAUGGCACACACACUGCAUUUUUUUCCGAGCUGCAGGAGGCGGGGGGAGCGGGGGAUAGUGCAGACUGUAGGGACACUGCCCUCCUAACCAAUCAGAGCACGUCUGCUUGCCAUCGCAAAGUUGUUAACCCCAGAGUCUUCUGGCUGCCGCUGCCUCCUCUGCUUUUAAUCUUCGUGGAUAUUUCUCCGAUUUUUUCCAAACGCCCACAGAUCCUGGGGGAAGCCACCCCAUUCAGCCACUGAUCAUGGAAGAAAGUAUUACUUUUUAUUUACCAAAUAUUUUAAAGAUGUUUGAAGAUCCAUAUGCUGCCUGGAGGCUGUUGUUUCCAGGGACACAAGUAUUCAGCCUAUAUUGUUACAAUUAUUUUUCAAGAACUGGCUUCUUCUCUGCCUACACCAAUGAAGCUGGAAGUCCAAGAUCAAGGUGCUGGCAGAUUCAGUGUCUGGUGACAGUCAUAAUGUCCAGCUGUGUCCUCUCAGCCAAAGAGGUGAGGGGGCUCUCUGGGGUCUGUUUUACAGAAGCACUAAUUCCAUUCAUGAGGUUUCUACCCUCAUGACCUAAACACCUCCCAAAGGUCCCACCUCCAAACACCAUCACAUUGGGGGUUAGAAUUUCAGUGUAUGAAUUUGAGGGGGAAUAUAAGCAUUCAGUCUAUAGCAGUUUCCAUAAUUGCAGAAAGUUCUAUUGGAUAGCACUAGUGCUUGUGCUUGGCUGUGCUUGGCUCACACUAUUAUUACACCAGGGCUUCUCAACUUCCUGUAGUUACCAUCAUCCAGAAACUUAAAAACAAAAUGCCCGCACCCCACGCCCAGAGAUUGGCCUGGAUCAGAUCUUGGCAUAAGCAUUUCCCAAAAGCUAUUCACAGGAUUCCAAUAUACAGCUGGAGUUGAGAAUUGCUAAGUUCCUCUACUGAAGUAAGCCACUAAACCAAAAAAUGAAGAGGUCAGUCGAUUAGUGCUGCUACUUCUCAUCUCAAUAGUUCAAAACCUACAGUCACAUCUCCUAGAAAGUGAGGAAGGUUCAAACCCAGGUAAAGAAUAACUGGACAGUGUGGCCAGUUCUGUGGGAUAAACCAUUAAGUUGACCGCCUAAUGAACACCAGCUUUAGCUGGGAGAAAAACAGCCCAGUUACCACUAUUUGUUUUGCAUACUGAAAGACCAUUCUGAAGUUAAUUUGAAUUUUCAAAAGGUAAUAUGAAAUUUAUUAAUGUUACUAUCCAAGGAAGCUCUCCCUAAUGUUUUUAAAUUUAGUUCACAAAUCUUAUCAUAUUUAUAAAUCUGGCAAAUUUUAAAAAUCAUGGACCUUUAAAAUUUGGUCUUAUUUAUACUAUUACUUGAUUAAAUACCUUCCAACUUUGUAUUCCUCUUUAUACUGCAUUUAUAAAUUUACUGCAUACAGCUGCCUCUUUUGGUAUCUAAUAACCAGUUUCAAGAAGUCAAGAAAGUCUUAUAUAUCUAAUAAAUUUAUGAUUCUUAAGUUCUCUAAUGUUUCAAUACUAUAUAUAAUUUUGUAGGAAUUGUACUUUAAAGUCUAAUAGGCUGUCCUCUUACUCCAAUUGGUCAAGUGUUCUUAAAGAGAACAAUUAAUCUACAUUAAAAACACUUUUGUACUUAUUGUACAUCUUUCUGGAGUUAAAAGCUUCUUACCUGCUAAGAAAACAGUUAUGUCCUACCUAACAAUUUUGGGUGAUGCCUUCCCAAGUAAAUUUUUUGAUCUGCCUUUUCAAUAAACUGGUUUCUUGAUGAGCAGAGGUUUGGGUGGAACAGACUAGAUCCUUGGCUGAGACAUUGAUGGAUCAUUCUGAACCUUACUGACAUUCAUUGUAUCCCUAUACCCCACCCCACAAAAAGUGAGUCAUAUCUUUACCUUUUUUUAAGUCAGGUUAGAAUCUUUGAUCCUCACACACACAAAUGGCUACAAUGAACAAAUAUUUAGGUUGCACGUUUCUUAAUCCUUUAGAAUAGAUAACUGUCCUUUUUUCUUAAUCUAGACACCUUUGAACUUGGCUGAAUCUCUCACAUUCUGUCUUACAGGACAAUCAACUCUUGGAGAUACUAACAGAUCUUUAAUUGACACUGAAUCUCUCUAUGAUUUUGUCUAGGUCUACAUUUUCCAAGCAUAUUCUGUUGACAAGUUUGUUUUUUUUUUGACCCCUAGAAUGGCUGACUAGAAGCCUCUCCGUACAUAUACAUUUCUAUUGAAAACAUUAUGAGAACACAGCUUUGCCUGAUUUGUUUGUGUUCUAGCUUUGCCCUUUAACUCAUUAUAGUCUAACAACAGCCUCGUGAGGAAGGAAUAUUACCUUGUUUCAAAGAAGAGGAAACUGAGGGUCUGCACAGUUAAGUAACUUGGGCCAGUUACCCUCCUCAUGUGGCUGUUUUGAGACUACGAUGAGUUAAAGCACUUAAACCACCAAGAAAGCACCAAGUGCCUGAUAAUGUCGUAAACAUCCAGUAUAUGCCAUGCGUUUAUUUUUUCAUAGACACCGCUGAUUUCAAGGACCUAAACAGGCAUUACACAGUGUGUUAGGAAUUAAAAACGUCAUCUGAUUUAGGCAUAUGGGUAUCACAAUAUUAUUAGAGAGGCUCUCAUUAUCCUCUGCAGUUACUCUCAAAAGUUAGUAAGUCCAAUAGUAUCUCCAGCAAUUAAGGUUUCUUUGUUACCUGCUCUUCACUCACUAAAUAAAUCUUUAUCAGGCUUCUUAAAAACAACAGCAACAACACUAUCCUGAGCCUUAACAGAUUAGAAGAGAAGCAGUUGGGAAUUGGGGUGAACUUCAUGGAGAAGAUACUUUUGACCAGAGCCUUGAAAGACACAUAGAUUUUCGAUAUGUAGACAUUGAGAGAAGACUUUCCAGGUAAGUAAGGAAAGUAGUGGGGCACAGGCAACGAGGAGAGAAAACACAUGGCAUUUGGAAAUACCAGCUAGAAGCCCAGUGUGGGUAGAAAGUUAGCUAUAAUGUGUGGGAAUUAGAGAGUGGGAGAGAUGGACCUGCGAUGGUACCUUGGAACCAACACAAGGAGGUUUUGGAAUCCCAAGCUAAGGAAUUUGGAAAUCAGUCAUUUCCAAUAGAAUACCAAUUCAAGUUCUUGUUAGCCAAAAAAUGGUGAUGGGAUAAAUAGUUCUUUCUUAUUUUACCAUUUACCUAUUAGCCUGAGUAGGGGAAAACUUCAGUGGUCUGGAUCUCUUGCUAGGUAAGUUUUGAUGGGGAGAACAUGGAGAAGUAGGAAAGGUUGAAAAGUUUGGGACAGUUUUUAGUAAGUGUGGACACUGGGCAGCAGGGGGCAGCAGGAGGGCACCUAAAAGUCAAAUGAAUGCAUAGGGCAUUUGCUUCUGUAAUAUUGCUUGACCAUUAUAAAUUUACAUAAUAUAGGCUACUUAUAUUAAUAAUAACUUAGCAUUCUUUCCCCAAAAAUGAAGAGAAAUUAAAAGAGAAAAGAAGAAAAGUAACAGGCUGGCUGAUGGCAGAAUGACAUUGCUGCUUAUUUGAGAGCAUAGAAAUGAACAGUUGUCUAUGUGUUAUUUCUUUUCAGAGUUCAUAUAAGUUUGAAAAUGUCUAAAUUUAAAUUGGAAAGCAUUUAAAUUUUCAAAUUUUCAUUUAGAAGUUUUCAUUUAGAAAACUUUUAUGACUCUUAAAGAUUCUACAUUUUUUUGAAGUACCCUUGUUCAGCUACACUGAUAUCCUGCAUUCCUUAAAGAAACUGGUUAAAGAGAGAGAGGGAGAGAAAAAAAAACACUUGAAAAUAAAAUUGUACUUAAAUCAUGAACAGAAAUUUUAAUACACACCCUAUUUUACAUACCAAAUAUAUGGAAUUUUGAAUUUUGGCUUUUAUGCUCAUGAAAUUUUUGGACAUCCAAAUGAAGUUUUUUUCUUUAUAUCUAAAAUUCGGUGGGACACCUGGGUGGCUCAGUCAGUUAAGCAUCUGCCUUUAGCUCAGGUCGUGAUCCUGGGGUCCUGGGAUUGAGUCCCGCAUCAGGUUCCUUGCUCAGGGGGAGCCUGCUUCUCCCACUGCAAGGCACCUGUGCUCCCUCUCUCUUUGUGUUAAAUAAAUAAAAUAUUUUUUAAAAAAUAAGGUAAAAUUUGAGACUAUCUACACUGUAUGUCUACAUUAUAUUUUUCAGGUGAAAUUCACCUCUUACUAACCUGUUCAAAAAUUUGGAUGGUUCAUGGGCACCUGGGUGGUGCAGUGGGUUGAGCGUCUGUCUUUGGCUUCUGGUCACAAUCCCAGAGUCCUGGGAUUGAGUCCCACCUCAGGCUCCCUCCUUGGCUGGGAGUCUGCUUCUCCCUCUUCCUAUGCCCCUCCCCCCUGCUUGUGUGUACUCUCUCUCCCUCUCUCUCUCUCAUGUUCUGUCUCUCUCAGAUCAAUAAGUAAAUAAAAUAUACUUUAAGUUUAGAUGGUUCAUGAUAUUAAGAGUAGAAAAUGAGAAGCUUCCAUGUAGAUGUUUUGUUUUUGUUUUUGUUUUUUUAGCUCUGGGAUUUACCUUUGUGAAUGCUUCAUUACACCCACCAGAAAAUAGCUCUUUCUCUCCUUGUGUGAGGAAGAUGUAUAAUAAUGUGAGGAAGAGGUAUAAUAAUGCUCAUACACAACACACAUAGAAACUUUCUUUGUUCCUUCAUGAUUCUCUCAAUGCCCAUCACACAUGUUUAGAUGGUUGUGACCCCUGCGUGGGUCAUCCUUCAGGUGCUGCUUUUUGUUCCCUCAUUUCACCUUUCUGUAGAUGCUUCUCUCCAUGUAUUGACAUAUGUUAUACUUGUCACUUUAAAUGGCCACAUAAACUGAUGGCUGGCUAUUCUGUGCUUGUGGAAUAUUGAUUGCCACCUUCAUUCAGGAACAUCUGAAAUGAUGAACAAACUUUUGGUUUAAGGUCGUUGACCUGAGGGGCUCCUGAGUGCUGCAGUCAGUUAAGCAUCUGACUUGGUUUCUGCUCAGGUCAUGAUCCAAGGGUCGUGGGAUUAAGACCCCUGUCCAGUGCCAUACUCAAAAAGAGUCUGCUUAAAAUUCUCUCUCCUUGGGCACCUGGGUGGCUCAGUUGGUUAAGUUACUGCCUUCAGCUCAGGUCAUGAUCCUGGAGUCCCAGGAUCAAGUCCCACAUCAGGCUCCCUGCUCCACA
rnacentral:lncRNA from 1 species